ACGCUGGCGGCGUGCUUAACACAUGCAAGUCGAACGGAGUUCCUUGGAUAGAGGCUUCGGCCAAUUGAAAUGGAACUUAGUGGCGGACUGGUGAGUAACGCGUGAGGAACCUGCCUUUCAGAGGGGGAUACCAGUUGGAAACGACUGUUAAUACCGCAUAACAUAUCGAGAUCGCAUGAUAUUGAUAUCAAAGAUUUAUCGCUGAAAGAUGAGCUCGCGUCUGAUUAGAUAGUUGGUGAGGUAACGGCUCACCAAGUCGACGAUCAGUAGCCGGACUGAGAGGUUGGACGGCCACAUUGGGACUGAGACACGGCCCAGACUCCUACGGGAGGCAGCAGUGGGGAAUAUUGCACAAUGGGCGCAAGCCUGAUGCAGCGAUGCCGCGUGAGGGAAGAAGGUUUUAGGAUUGUAAACCUCUGUCUUCAGGGACGAUAAUGACGGUACCUGAGGAGGAAGCUCCGGCUAACUACGUG
rnacentral:rRNA from 1 species